rnacentral:rRNA from 1 species
GCGUGAGUGAUGAAGGCCUUCGGGUCGUAAAGCUCUUUUACCCGGGAUGAUAAUGACAGUACCGGGAGAAUAAGCUCCGGCUAACUCCGUGCCAGCAGCCGCGGUAAUACGGAGGGAGCUAGCGUUGUUCGGAAUUACUGGGCGUAAAGCGCGCGUAGGCGGCGAAUCAAGUCAGGGGUGAAAUCCCGGGGCUCAACCCCGGAACUGCCCUUGAAACUAGCUCGCUAGAAUCUUGGAGAGGUCAGUGGAAUUCCGAGUGUAGAGGUGAAAUUCGU